GAUGACCUGGCAGAGCUACUACUUGGAGAGUCAAAGUUGGAGCUGUACCUGAAAGACAAUCCAAUCAAACAAGGAGUCACUCCUCCAGAUGCCAAGCCAAAGCUAAGCGAGGUGAAGAAGCACUUGAUAGGUGCACUCGAUAGAGGCAAUUUAAAGCAAGAUUUUGCGCAGGAAACCAACUUGAUUUUGGCCAAGUGUUACUACGUGGAGGGUGACCACACCCGAGCUCUCAACCUGUAUUCCAAGGUAGAUCUGGAAAAGUUGCAGUUGGUGGGAGUGCCUGUCUACAGACUGAGGAUCAUUGCUGAAUCCUAUGCUACAAAAGACCACAAAAUAUAGUGAACCAAAAGGAAGAUGCAGAAAAUCUGAAAUGAAAACAGAAAGUAAUGGAAAUGCUCAGCAGCGUCAGGUAUCAUCUGAGAAGAGAGUUAAUGUUUCAAGCCUGCGACUUUUCAUCAGAACUGAGGGAUGUUAGGAAAAUCAUAGAUUUUGAGCAAUUAGACGUUGGGCAAAAGAAUGAAGGUAAUUUCUGUAAUAGGGUGGAGGGCAGGAGGGGUUUUAAACAGCUGCCAUCUGAAAGCAAAAUCAAGAAAAUUAAAAGGGAAAAAAGCAACAAAGAAAAA